UACGAAGGGGGCUAGCGUUGCUCGGAAUCACUGGGCGUAAAGGGUGCGUAGGCGGGUCUUUAAGUCAGGGGUGAAAUCCUGGAGCUCAACUCCAGAACUGCCUUUGAUACUGAAGAUCUUGAGUCCGGGAGAGGUGAGUGGAACUGCGAGUGUAGAGGUGAAAUUCGUAGAUAUUCGCAAGAACACCAGUGGCGAAGGCGGCUCACUGGCCCGGUACUGACGCUGAGGCACGAAAAGCGUGGGGAGCAAACAAGA
rnacentral:rRNA from 1 species